GGGUUUAAAGGGUGCGUAGGUGGGUUGGUAAGUCAGUGGUGAAAUCUCCGAGCUUAACUUGGAAACUGCCAUUGAUACUAUCAGUCUUGAAUACCGUGGAGGUCAGCGGAAUAUGUCAUGUAGCGGUGAAAUGCUUAGAUAUGACAUAGAACACCAAUUGCGAAGGAGCUGGCUACACGAAUAUUGACACUGAGGCACGAAAGCGUGGGGAUCAAACAGGAUUAGAUACCCUGGUAGUCCACGCCCUAAACUAUGGAUACUCGACAUACGCGAUACACAGUGUGUGUCUGAGCGAAAGAUUAAGUAUCCCACCUGGGGAGUACGAUCGCAAGAUUGAAACUCAAAGGAAUUGGCGGGGGUCCGCACAAGCGGGGGAGGAUGUGGCUUAAUUCGAGGCUACGCGAAGAACCUUAUCCUAGUCUUGACAUGUACGGAUUAACCUGGUGAAAGCCAGGCCACGCUCGCAAGAGUGGAACGUGCACAGGUGCUGCAUGGCUGUCGUCAGCUCGUGUCGUGAGAUGUCGGGUUAAGUCCCUUAACGAGCGAAACCCUUGUCUUUAGUUACCAUCAUUCAGUUGGGGACUCUAAAGAGACUGCCGGCGUUAAGCGGGGGGAAGGUGGGGAUGACGUCAAGUCCUUCAUGGCCUUUAUGACUAGGGCUGCACACGUCCUACAAUGGGUUUGUACAGAGCGACGCAAACUCGUGAGAGCCAAGCAAAUCGCAAAAUAGCAAACCUCAGUACGCAUUGCAGGCUGCAACUCGCUGCAUGAGCUGGCAUCGCUAGUAAUCGGGGAGUCAGCAUAGCUCAGGCUGGCUCUUGAGCUUGUACAACACCGUCCGUC
rnacentral:rRNA from 1 species